GACGAACGCUGGCGGCGUGCUUAACACAUGCAAGUCGAACGGAAAGGCCCAGCUUGCUGGGUACUCGAGUGGCGAACGGGUGAGUAACACGUGGGUGAUCUGCCCCUGACUUUGGGAUAAGCCUGGGAAACUGGGUCUAAUACCGGAUAUGACCUUACAUCGCAUGGUGUUUGGUGGAAAGCUUUUGCGGCUGGGGAUGGGCCCGCGGCCUAUCAGCUUGUUGGUGGGGUAAUGGCCUACCAAGGCGACGACGGGUAGCCGACCUGAGAGGGUGAUCGGCCACACUGGGACUGAGACACGGCCCAGACUCCUACGGGAGGCAGCAGUGGGGAAUAUUGCACAAUGGGCGCAAGCCUGAUGCAGCGACGCCGCGUGAGGGAUGACGGCCUUCGGGUUGUAAACCUCUUUCACCAGGGACGAAGCGUGAGUGACGGUACCUGGAGAAGAAGCACCGGCCAACUACGUG
rnacentral:rRNA from 1 species